rnacentral:rRNA from 1 species
GGUUAAGUUAGAAAGGGCGCACGGUGGAUGCCUUGGCACUAGGAGCCGAAGAAGGACGGGACUAACACCGAUAUGCUUUGGGGAGCUGUACGUAAGCGUUGAUCCAGAGAUUUCCGAAUGGGGGAACCCACUAUCUUUAGUCGGAUAGUAUCCUUACGUGAAUACAUAGCGUGAGGAAGGCAGACCCAGGGAACUGAAACAUCUAAGUACCUGGAGGAAGAGAAAGAAAAAUCGAUUUCCUGAGUAGCGGCGAGCGAAACGGAAAGAGCCCAAACCAAGAAGCUUGCUUCUUGGGGUUGUAGGACACUCUAUACGGAGUUACAAAAGAAAGUUAUAAAUGAAGCGGUCUGGAAAGGCCCGCCAAAGACGGUAACAGCCCGGUAGUUGAAAUGGCUUUCCCUCCAGAGUGGAUCCUGAGUACGGCGGAACACGUGAAAUUCCGUCGGAAUCCGGGAGGACCAUCUCCCAAGGCUAAAUACUCCCUAGUGACCGAUAGUGAACCAGUACCGUGAGGGAAAGGUGAAAAGCACCCCGGAAGGGGAGUGAAACAGUUCCUGAAACCGUGUGCCUACAAGUAGUUAGAGCCCGUUAAUGGGUGAUAGCGUGCCUUUUGUAGAAUGAACCGGCGAGUUACGAUUUGUUGCAAGGUUAAGCGGAAAAAGCGGAGCCGUAGCGAAAGCGAGUCUGAAUAGGGCGCAUAAGUAACAGGUCGUAGACCCGAAACCAGGUGAUCUACCCAUGUCCAGGAUGAAGGUAAGGUAAUACUUACUGGAGGUCCGAACCCACGCACGUUGAAAAGUGCGGGGAUGAGGUGUGGGUAGCGGAGAAAUUCCAAUCGAACUUGGAGAUAGCUGGUUCUCUCCGAAAUAGCUUUAGGGCUAGCCUCGAGGUAAAGAGUCAUGGAGGUAGAGCACUGUUUGGACUAGGGGCCCUUCUCGGGUUACCGAAUUCAGAUAAACUCCGAAUGCCAUGUACUUAUACUCGGGAGUCAGACUGCGAGUGAUAAGAUCCGUAGUCGAAAGGGAAACAGCCCAGACCACCAGUUAAGGUCCCCAAAUAUAUGUUAAGUGGAAAAGGAUGUGGGGUUGCUUAGACAACCAGGAUGUUGGCUUAGAAGCAGCCACCAUUGAAAGAGUGCGUAAUAGCUCACUGGUCGAGUGACCCCGCGCCGAAAAUGUACCGGGGCUAAACAUAUUACCGAAACUGUGGAUGAACCUCUUUAGAGGUUCGUGGUAGGAGAGCGUUCUAAGGGCGGUGAAGUCAGACCGGAAGGACUGGUGGAGCGCUUAGAAGUGAGAAUGCCGGUAUGAGUAGCGAAAGAAGGGUGAGAAUCCCUUCCACCGAAUAUCUAAGGUUUCCUG